GGCCUCGUAGCUCAGCCUGGUAGAGCACUGGACUCUUAAUCCAGGUGUCGCGGGUUCGAAUCCCGUCGGGGCCA
rnacentral:tRNA from 1 species